rnacentral:lncRNA from 1 species
CUUACAACAACCUCACCAGACAAGCUGCGUGCUUUCCUUGUGCAGCAGGCUACUACUGCCCAGAAAAUACUACCAGCUACAGUGAGAAUCCGUGCCCAGCUGGCUUCUACUGCCCCAAAGGUGAGAUGAGCCCAGGGGACAAGGUCAGCUAUCAGCCAGGGUGAAAUAAUUUUAUUUUAAGGCAGGGAGUGGUCCCUGUGAAAUAAACCUUCAGCCGUCAGUCUGGUUCUUCACAGAAAAAUAACCCAAUCAUUUAAACCACAGACAAGGCUGUCAUUUAACCCCCCCACCAGUAAGCUGAUCAGCACCUGGAGGUUGUCGUGGCCCUGAAAGCCGGGCUGUGCACUGGGGAGGUCAACAUGGAGAUAAACUGGCAAAAAUCAUAGAAUCACAGUCAUAAACUGGCAAAGAUGAAGGAGGUGAUGCUGAGGGAUUAAUAGCCAAGAUCCUAUGUAUAGUCCGUGAAACAUUCUGCCUUUAUUUCAAAGGAACCAGGUUUGCUACUGAGUUUCCCUGUCCUCGGGGCUACUUUAACCCAGACCCCAUGGCACAGAGCUUGGAUAGCUGCUUGCCCUGUCCUCCUGGGCAUUACUGUGGGAAGGAGAACUUGACAGCUGCAUCAGGCAAGUGUGAUGCAGGAUGGUUUUGCAUCUCAGCUGCUUGGACGCCACGGCCUUUUGAUCUGGAUAAUUACACCAACGCCAACUGCCUCUGUCCCGCCACUGCCACUGGAGGGAAGUGCAUAGCUGGUUUCUACUGUCCCACAGGAAGCCCAGAGCCUCUUCCCUGCCCUCCAGGGUUUUACUGCAAUGCCCCAGGUCUGUCCAUCCCCAGUGGGGAAUGUGCUGCUGGCUUUUACUGUAAAGGUGGAGCAACCCUGCCUAAUCCAAGAGAUGAUGUGACUGGGAAUAUCUGCCCUGCAGGGACUUACUGCACUGCAGCAUCGGCAGUCCCCACGCUCUGCCCAGCAGGCACUUUCUCUAGCCUGCCAGGGAGGAGAACACUUUCUGAGUGCCAGCCUUGCCCCUCUGGCUUCUAUUGUGAGUUACCUGGUCUCAGUGCCCCCACUGGAGAGUGCUGGGAAGGUUAUUACUGUGACAACCAACAAGGGCCAGUUAUAGAUUUCACCCUUUACCCGUGCCCACAAGGUUUUUACUGCCCACCAGGGACAAACAGGAGCACUCAGUACAGCUGUCCUGAAGGAACCUUUGGACCAAGGCAAAGGCUAAGAACUAUCAAGGAAUGUCAGAGAUGCCCACCGGGAAAAUACUGUGAAUCCUCUGGACUUGCUGCCCCAACAGGAGACUGUGCUGAGGGAUUCUGGUGCAAAAGUGGUGCCCGAGUAAGAAAUCCUCAAGAUGGAGAAUCAGGACUUCCUUGUCCACCUGGUCAUUAUUGUCCAGAAGGUGCACCACUUCCCCUAGAGUGCCCUCCUGGCACUUGGUCUUGCAGUGAAGGCAGCAGCAGUUUGCAGCAAUGCCUGCCUUGCCCUGGGGGAUACUACUGCAAUAGCUCUGGACAGAGGGCUCCCACAGGACCCUGCAGCCCAGGGUAAGAGAAGAUUGAACACAUUUAUGUACUCUUUAUAAGGAAAGGUGUUCUCCAAGUGGUCUUCUUCACCAUCUUGAUAUAAUGACAGUAUGCUCCUAUACUCACUGCUGCAGGUAUUACUGUGUCACCAGGGCCCAGACCCCAGCACCCACAGAUGGCCUCUCGGGAGCUCCAUGUCCUGUCAAUCACUUUUGUCCUCUUGGAUCCAGGAGUCCAACACCAUGUCCUGCUGGCUCCUACAUGCCACAGACCCAUGGAGAGAAGUGCCAGGCUUGCCCAGAGGGUGAAUACUGUGCCCCUGGGGA